rnacentral:lncRNA from 1 species
ACCAUUUUUAUUGCCAACUUUCUGUGCUUUGAAUCUCAUUCCCCUCUCUCUCGUUCUGAUAUUGUCUCGAAGUAAAACACACUUCGUUGAGUUCGUUGGAACUCCUGCAGAUUGCAGUGCUGCUUCCGUAGGAGACGAAAAUUAGUUCUAUCCUGAAAAAGAUUGCUAGACGCUUUUAGCACCAUUGAAGGCAGCAAAUUCGUUUUAAGGAAAUAUCGUCAAGUCGGUGGGCUCGAAUUACUUUUUGGAUCCUGUUGAUCAAUUCUUUACAUUCGGGUGAUUCUGUCGGAUUGAUUUCGAAGGAAUAACGUUAAACUCUAGGAACAACAGCAUUUUCUUAACAAAUUUACUGACAGCUCACAGAACCCCAGAAUAAAAAAUCGUCAAAUACUUUGAUCAAGAAAAAAAUCUAGCACAAUUCAAUUAUGUAACCACCACUAUCCGAUCAAAUUGAAAAAGCCCAGUUAAUUCAAAUUCAAAAAAUUGAAGAAACAAGAAUAUUAAACAAACCAGAAGACCAAGAUAAUUAUGUAAACAUGUUGGGGAAGCAGUACCAGGAAUAAAAUCAGUUUGCAAAGACCGAUAUGAACGAGUUAACUCGAAUUCAAAGUGAGUAUGAUGAGCGAGAAAUUAUUGGGAGUGCCUAUAGAUUCCAGAGGGACUUGAAGGAUAUAAAUGAAGGAAAAAAAGAAAAAAGAAAAAAAAAAGAUGAUGGUAGAAAUAAGGAAAGUUUUAAUUUCUCUGCGGUUCACAACUUUUUAAAUAUUACAAAUUAAUACCAUAUUGGUAACAAAUAGGAAAUAUAGGGUAGGUUUGUGAAUUAACUUACUAUAAUAAUAAUAAUAAUAAGAGUCCCUUUAUAUUUACGUCACUUGAUGGUUGGGGGUUUUUUGAUUUGAAAAUAGAAAGACCUAUGCAGGUAGAAGUUGAAAUCGACACUUCUCCUUAUGCUUGUUGAUUUGUUUGAAGAAAAAAAAAAACGUUUGGAAGAAGCAAAUUUCAAGCAUCAACAAGCUUCAUCCUGAUUAUUGAUAUUUUACCAUUAGUCACGUUACUCGUUACCGGAUGUUCCACCAUAAACAUCCAUACAUGAAGUAAACACAAAUUUUUUUGCUCAC